rfam:Pteropus alecto contig106902, whole genome shotgun sequence.
GUCUGCGGUCAUGCCACCCUGAAUGCACCCGAUCUCAUCUGAUCUCAUCUGAUCUCGGAAGCUAAGCAGGGUCUAAGCAGGGUCAGGCUUGGUUAGUACUUGGAUGGGAGACCACCUAGGAAGACCAGGUGCUGUAGGUG